rnacentral:rRNA from 1 species
UACGUAGGGCGCAAGCGUUGUCCGGAAUUAUUGGGCGUAAAGAGCUCGUAGGCGGUUUGUCGCGUCUGCUGUGAAAACCUAAGGCUCAACCUUGGGCUUGCAGUGGGUACGGGCAGACUAGAGUGCGGUAGGGGUGACUGGAAUUCCUGGUGUAGCGGUGGAAUGCGCAGAUAUCAGGAGGAACACCGGUGGCGAAGGCGGGUCUCUGGGCCGUUACUGACGCUGAGGAGCGAAAGCGUGGGGAGCGAACAGG